GUCUUCUUGGUUUAAUUAGAAGUUUGGCCUGCCCGGUGAGUUGUUUUAACGGCCGCGGUAUUUUGACCGUGCAAAGGUAGCAUAAUCAUUAGUCUUUUAAUAGGGGGCUGGAAUGAAGGGUCUCACGAAGUAAUGGCUGUCUCUCAUAAAUUAUUUUAAAAUUUAAUUUUUAGGUUAAAAGGCCUAAAUAUUGUUGGAAGACGAGAAGACCCUAUAGAGCUUUAUAUGUAUUUCUUUGAUUUUUGUUGGGUAAUCAUUAUUAAUUAUUUUAAUAUUUAUUUUGCUGGGGUGGCAAAAAAUAUAUUUUUAACUUUUAUAUUUAUUAUACACUGAUAUGUGCUUAUUAGAUCCAUUAUUAUUGAUCACUAGAAUAAGUUACCUUAGGGAUAACAGCGUAAUCCCCCUUUGGAGUUCAAAUUUACAGGGGGGCUUGCGACCUCGAUGUUGGAUUAAGAUAAUAGUUAGGUGCAGUAGCUUAGCCUAUAGGUCUGUUCGACCUUUAAAUUCUUACAUGAUCUGAGUUCAGACCGG
rnacentral:rRNA from 1 species